rnacentral:SRP_RNA from 1 species
GCUGGGUGUGGUGGCACACACCUAUAAUCCCAGCUACUGGGGAGGCUGAGGCAGGAGAAUCACUUGAACCCGGGAAGCAGAGAUUGCAGUGAGCCGAGAUCAUGCCACUGCAUUCCAGCCUGGGCAACAGAGUGAGACCCUGUCUCAA